AGAGAGAAGCUUGCUUCUCUUGAGAGCGGCGGACGGGUGAGUAAUGCCUAGGAAUCUGCCUGGUAGUGGGGGAUAACGCUCGGAAACGGACGCUAAUACCGCAUACGUCCUACGGGAGAAAGCAGGGGACCUUCGGGCCUUGCGCUAUCAGAUGAGCCUAGGUCGGAUUAGCUAGUUGGUGAGGUAAUGGCUCACCAAGGCGACGAUCCGUAACUGGUCUGAGAGGAUGAUCAGUCACACUGGAACUGAGACACGGUCCAGACUCCUACGGGAGGCAGCAGUGGGGAAUAUUGGACAAUGGGCGAAAGCCUGAUCCAGCCAUGCCGCGUGUGUGAAGAAGGUCUUCGGAUUGUAAAGCACUUUAAGUUGGGAGGAAGGGCAGUUACCUAAUACGUAUCUGUUUUGACGUUACCGACAGAAUAAGCACCGGCUAACUCUGUGCCAGCAGCCGCGGUAAUACAGAGGGUGCAAGCGUUAAUCGGAAUUACUGGGCGUAAAGCGCGCGUAGGUGGUUUGUUAAGUUGGAUGUGAAAUCCCCGGGCUCAACCUGGGAACUGCAUUCAAAACUGACAAGCUAGAGUAUGGUAGAGGGUGGUGGAAUUUCCUGUGU
rnacentral:rRNA from 2 species